UCCGUAGGUGAACCUGCGGAAGGAUCAUUACCGAGUGAGGGCCCUCUGGGUCCAACCUCCCACCCGUGUUUAUUUUACCUUGUUGCUUCGGCGGGCCCGCCUUAACUGGCCGCCGGGGGGCUUACGCCCCCGGGCCCGCGCCCGCCGAAGACACCCUCGAACUCUGUCUGAAGAUUGAAGUCUGAGUGAAAAUAUAAAUUAUUUAAAACUUUCAACAACGGAUCUCUUGGUUCCGGCAUCGAUGAAGAACGCAGCGAAAUGCGAUACGUAAUGUGAAUUGCAAAUUCAGUGAAUCAUCGAGUCUUUGAACGCACAUUGCGCCCCCUGGUAUUCCGGGGGGCAUGCCUGUCCGAGCGUCAUUGCUGCCCUCAAGCCCGGCUUGUGUGUUGGGCCCCGUCCCCCGAUCUCCGGGGGACGGGCCCGAAAGGCAGCGGCGGCACCGCGUCCGGUCCUCGAGCGUAUGGGGCUUUGUCACCCGCUCGGUAGGCCCGGCCGGCGCUUGCCGAUCAACCCAAAUUUUUAUCCAGGUUGACCUCGGAUCAGGUAGGGAUACCCGCUGAACUUAAGCAUAUCAAUAAGCGGAGGA
rnacentral:rRNA from 1 species